AAAAUGCCGAAGGGAGCUGUACACUGUGUGCUUGUGCUUUUGUCAGCGGUCGCCUGUGCAACACACGAUACCUGUGAAGGGCCUCGACGCAGAAAUGCUUUCUUCAAGCUCAGGCACAAAGAGCACAUGCUGAUAGAUCACGUGAUAUUGUCCCGUGACGUCACAAGUCCAACUCAUUGUUCGAUGGAGCACGGGAAUUAAGAUACUUUGUCAGCGAUUUCUUAAUAAAAUAAUCAAAAAUGCAUUCCCAAUAUUGUAUUCAGCGAAUAAAAGAUCUCUAACCUUUG